CGCAGAUGCCCACUUUCAUGGGCGUUUCCUCCCUGACUUGGACCGCUCCGCCCGGGCGGUCCCUUUUCUUUUCAGGG
rnacentral:sRNA from 1 species